UCUCACCCGACCCAAGCCACGCCGCCCUUUCUUCUUACCCAUCUCGCCGAUUUCCUUUCUCCCCUUCGCUUCCUCGUGCCACCAUUCGAAGCCCGCAACGGCGUCGGUCGAUCGCCGACCUCGCUCACCCCGCACCGGCAGAGCCUCCCUCUCCCAUCAGCUCUUCGUCGCCGACCACCAACGCCACCCGACGCUAUGCCCUAGCAUGUAGUCGAGUCCACCUCUUCGUCACCGGCGCAGAUCUGGCCAUCGCCUUCACAGACUUAGCCGCGGACACCCAACCCUCGUCGGGAGCCAAGCACUCGAUCCCACCUUUCCGGCGGAGCCCUAGCCGUCACUGUGCCGCCGUGCGAUCAUGCCGGAUCUCGGCUUGAGGGCGUCCGAUCGCGUCAGUUUUGUGCGCCGCCGCCGUAUCAUCGGGUGCCACUGCCACCGGAAGGGAGAUUCGACGCAAAUGAAGACAGGGUUGUCCUUCUCCUCGCUUGAGGACCCAGCUGAGUAAGGGAGGUCACCACCGGAGGGAUCUCUGCUGCGGAGCCAUAGAACUCUUCCCCUAUCAUGCGGAUUCCUUCACUGGAGUGGUACCACGAUCCUUGUCCCAGCAAGCUCGCUAUCAAACAUGGAUGUGUUGCUAAGAUCCUAUGUUUGAUGAAAUGCCUAAUUCCUCGUGCUGUCUCUGUUCGCGUUGUCAACGCCGUCAUCGACCACCAUCCUUCAUGAGUAGUUGUGGGAUCAGUGAACAACCCGGGAGAAGAAUAGCGAGCAAAUGGCACUUAUAUCUAGCUUCGAUCAUUGUUGUGAUACCAUGCUCUUAUCGGAUCCAAGGUGAGAGUCUUACUUCUAUUGCUGUGGCGAUUAAAUAUCUUCAUCAUGCGGAGAAUCAGAUUUGGAUGUGGACUCGAGACGAGCGUCUUGAAGCGAGACUACUUGACACGAUCGACAGAUAAUGGCGGAUACAGGAAAGGAAAAGAUAUAGAAAGGAAGGCGACAAGGAGGUGUUCGAAGGAUGUGUGAU